rnacentral:lncRNA from 1 species
CGGGCCUCGCCUUCCCCCGGGCCGCCGGCACGGAGCCGUUCGCAACCUCCAUACACUUACUUGCUUGCCUUAAGCUCUUUAUUAACUCCCCCGGAGGAGCGCCGGCUGCGGCCGCGCCUCCUACGCCCCGGUGGUCUGGCUCCUUCGCGCGGCGCACAUGCUAAACAGAUUAACAUGCCUUGGCUGACCCACGCUUCGCAACCCGCGGAUAGGGUUUCUGCAGCUCCAUGUGGAAAUUAACCUAUCUGUACCCGUGGUCAGCAGCGCCCGGCCGCUCCCGCGCCGGACCGGCAAUCCAAACAAACCAGGCCGCUGGCUCCCUUUGUUACUCUUGGCCCCCCUCCCCCCUACCCGGCCAAAUAUUUAUUGGAAAAGAGGUUCUCCUCUUUGGCCGAAGGGCAAGUUUAUUCCCUCAUCCUGACCCUCAAUCUGCCUCCCAUUCACACCCGGUAAACAAAGUGAGCGGAUUCUUCUAGAUUUUCUUACUCAGAGGAUCAGAAAAGGGCCAGGAACAGCAUGAAGAUCAGUGCAGCAUCAGUUAAGCAAUGACCAACACUAAACAGCAGAAUAGAGCGUCAUGCAGUAGCAAGCGGUUGCCUCACUUCAAAAAGGGAGCCAAACUCGGAGCAGAGCAGCCUGAGGAGCAUUCUCACUGAACAAACAUGUCUCCAGAACUGCAGUGCUCUGUAUCUCCAGGCUGACACUGCUAUCAGAAUGAAAACAUUUGGUGGAUUCUAGAUGAAGCAAGCUGCAUUAAAUAGUUGGUUUUUAACUUCCUUUAAAUAUUUGAACAAAAGAGCUGCUUUUAAUCACCAACCCCCAAACAACUCUCCACAACUUUCUGGUGAUAAACAACAUCUGUAGAAAUAAAAAGGUAGGUUUGCAAGCCAGGCGCUGUGGCUCACAUCUGUAGUCCCAGCUACUCAGGAGGCUGAGGUAGGAGGGUGGCUUGAGCCCAGCAGUUCAAGGCUGCAGUGAGCUAUGAUCACAACUCUGCACUCCACCCUGAGUGACAGAAUGAGACCCUCUUUUUUUUUUUAAAAAAAAAAAAAAAAAAAAAAAAAGGUAGGUUUGCGACUCUGCCUGGGGGUUGCCAACUGAAAUUCUAUUGGGCCAGAAUGGGCAAAAGAAUU